rnacentral:rRNA from 1 species
AGCGAACGCUGGCGGCAGGCCUAACACAUGCAAGUCGAACGAACCUUUCGGGGUUAGUGGCGGACGGGUGAGUAACACGUGGGAACGUGCCUUUAGGUUCGGAAUAACUCAGGGAAACUUGUGCUAAUACCGAAUGUGCCCUUCGGGGGAAAGAUUUAUCGCCUUUAGAGCGGCCCGCGUCUGAUUAGCUAGUUGGUUGAGGUAAUGGCUCACCAAGGCGACGAUCAGUAGCUGGUCUGAGAGGAUGAUCAGCCACAUUGGGACUGAGACACGGCCCAAACUCCUACGGGAGGCAGCAGUGGGGAAUCUUGCGCAAUGGGCGAAAGCCUGACGCAGCCAUGCCGCGUGAAUGAUGAAGGUCUCAGGAUUGUAAAAUUCUUUCACCGGGGACGAUAAUGACGGUACCCGGAGAAGAAGCCCCGGCUAACUUCGUG